CAGUCGCCACGGGAAUACGAAGGGUGCAAGCGUUACUCGGAAUUACUGGGCGUAAAGCGUGCGUAGGUGGUGGUUUAAGUCCGUUGUGAAAGCCCUGGGCUCAACCUGGGAAUUGCAGUGGAUACUGGGUCACUAGAGUGUGGUAGAGGAUAGUGGAAUUUCCGGUGUAGCAGUGAAAUGCGCAGAGAUCGGAAGGAACAUCUGUGGCGAAGGCGACUAUCUGGGCCAACACUGACACUGAGGCACGAAAGCGUGGGGAGCAAACAGGAUUAGAUACCCCAGUAGUCCCUGUCUCUUAUAC
rnacentral:rRNA from 1 species